rnacentral:ncRNA from 2 species
AAAACUCUUCAGGGCAGGGUGAGAUUCCCGACCGGCGGUAAGCGAAAGUGAGUCCGCGACCCAGUUAUCUAAACGGUAACUGGUUGACAUGGUGUAAAUCCAUGACCGACAGUAUAGUCUGGUAUGCAGAAGAACUUA